rnacentral:sRNA from 1 species
GUUGGGUGUAGUGGUGCACACCUGUAAUCCCAGCGACUCGGGAAGCUGAGGCAGGAAGCUGGCAAGUUCAAAGCCAAUCCCAGCAACUU